rfam:TPA: Bos taurus chromosome 1, whole genome shotgun sequence.
UCCCUAAUAGCUCAGUUGGUAAAGAAUCUGCCUGCAAUGCAGGAGACCCUGGUUUGAUUCCUGGGUCGGGAA